CCAUACCAGCCGGGGAAGUAGCGGUGCCUUGUACCUGAAAUCCGCUAUAGCAGGGGUCAAUUCCUCUCCCAAGGGCUGCGCUUGUGCGGUCUGCGCCGUCUUUGUUUAUGUUGAAGGGUGGGUCUUGUGCAAUCCGAGGCUGUGAACCAUGUCAGGUGGGGAACCAAGCAGCAUUAAGCGGUUUAUCGGAUGUGCCACAGGGGUGCCUAUCCGGAGCAAACGGGGCGGUUAACGCGGGUAAGCGUAUUUCGACGGAGAGGUGUAUGG
rnacentral:SRP_RNA from 1 species